UAAAAUCCCUAGUCCAAGCAAACAACUUUAAUGAACCUGGAUUUAAACUCAUAGCUCCCAAAGCUCGCACCUUGCGCAUAUCUUCUAUACUAGAGAAAGUAAAUUCAUAGUAACCUUUGCCCAAUGACUGAACGCCCCAGUUCUUCAUGUUUGACCAAAUAAGAGUAAGCUUCUUCCUGAGCUCAACAACAGUAAGGGGCGAAGUUCCUUUUGGCCAUAGAACUCUCCCAUGGAGAUUGUUCUUACAUUCAUCUAUGCCUGCCUUAUAUUCUUCCUCUGGAAUGGUAAUAGAAGGGCGAUCCCCUUUGAUCAGAGGCUGAGGGAGCUGCGAUACAGGGAUAUCACAUACCCCUUUCAAAGCUUGCGCAAAAGACUUCACGGGCUGAGGAACAGGGAUGCUCGAAGAAGAAGGAGAGGAAGAAAACACCUCAUUCGUCUUAGGGAUUGAUUUGGUUUCUGGAAACAAAAACUCGAGAUCCAUGGCAGAAAAAUCGGAUUAAAAGAAAAGGGGGUUAGGGUUUACUGUUUCAUUCAUCUCCAGCAAUCCCAAAUUUCUCUUCUCCUUUCUUCUAUCUUUUUAUCAUAUCAAACAAUCAUGGCUUCACUGCAUUAGGAUUGGUUGUUUUCAUUUAGUUCAUUAAUGUUUUCAUUUAGUCCACCUUUUGAGCAAAAUUUUACAAAAUCUUCAUCAUCGUGUUAUUGCUGCCCUUUAUCUCAAUUUUAUGCAGGAGAGAGUUGGAAAAAAUUGAAAUAGUGGGCGAAUCUGCAUCAUGCUUUGACCUUUCUUGUUGUAGUAUGACUAUGAUGAUAUUUGACAAGAUUGUCAAAAAAUAAAUUUACUCUUCUUUGAGCAGGGGAUGGAAUAACACGGUUUGGAUGAUAAAACCUUCAAUGCCUUUGAUUUUUGUUAUGUAUACCAUGCUAUUGUUAUCACUCUGCUCAGGCAGCUGCAGUAAGGAUGCUAAAGAAAUGCAUAAUAACUUUCAGUUUAAUAUCAUAGUGAUUUUGAUGGCAAUGGUAGAUAUUUUGUGUUUCUUAUGGUUGAUUUUACAGGAACUUAACUCGUGGAGCGAUAAGGUGAGUUCAUUCAUAAGAUUUCUCUCUAUUUUGUUCAUGAACUUGAAAAGGGAAUCGAAGAUGGGGCGGCAUGAUUGAAGAUGGAGGAGAUUUGGAGAUGAAAACGCUUAUCGAUAUGCGAGGGUAUCAUCAAACAUCCUAGGCGAUUCUUCCUCUGUCUCUGAAGCAAUUUUAUGAAUAUGGCGAAGAAGUUGGCUGCGGUGUGUCAAACUCUUGGUUAAAGCAAUCGUUGGAGGCCGAUGAGUUCUUAAGCUCUCCUCGCCUUUGUGAACCCGCUUCCACCGUAUGGGUUAUGAAUAAUCAACACAAAACUGAUUCAAUAGCAGGUUUCGAGUUCUAUAUCAACCACUCUUCAGCAUAUUGUGGUAAUCAAUUAUGAUGAAGAAAGUAAUCAAGUUUUCAACUUCAUGGUAGCAUUUUAAUCCUCUCGUCUGUUCUAUUUCCCAUUAUAUAUAUUCACCCCCGCAACGAAUAACAAUUGCAAAUAUUGUUGGGGAGAUUGGACAUGAAUGCUUCAGAGCCAGAUUUCCCAUCCUCAACUACUGAUUUACAUGAACAGAUGAGAGACCAGAUGAAUGAUCCGGCUAUGAUAUAAAAAUAGCUGGACAAACUUCCCAUCUCAUUGAUUUGUAGUUUGGACUUACGAAUCAUAAGUUUGUGUUAUUAACUUGAUUAUUAUAGUUGUCACCUAUGUAUUAGUGCUUUUAAAAUCCAUUUUCUGUUUUAGAAUGAUGUGGAUGUAUCAUUGAAAUUUUAAAGAUAUUGUUUUACAAUU